rnacentral:rRNA from 1 species
GGCUCAGAUUGAACGCUGGCGGCAGGCUUAACACAUGCAAGUCGAGCGGUAACAGAUCUAGCUUGCUAGAUGCUGACGAGCGGCGGACGGGUGAGUAAUGCAUAGGAAACUGCCCAGUAGUGGGGGAUAGCCCGGGGAAACCCGGAUUAAUACCGCAUACGUCCUUCGGGAGAAAGCAGGGGCUCUUCGGACCUUGCGCUAUUGGAUGUGCCUAUGUCGGAUUAGCUAGUUGGUGGGGUAAAGGCCUACCAAGGCGACGAUCCGUAGCUGGUCUGAGAGGAUGAUCAGCCACAUCGGGACUGAGACACGGCCCGAACUCCUACGGGAGGCAGCAGUGGGGAAUAUUGGACAAUGGGGGCAACCCUGAUCCAGCCAUGCCGCGUGUGUGAAGAAGGCUUUCGGGUUGUAAAGCACUUUCAGUGAGGAGGAAAACCUUAUGGUUAAUACCCAUGAGGCUUGACGUUACUCACAGAAGAAGCACCGGCUAACUCCGUGCCAGCAGCCGCGGUAAUAC